AUGAUUGAUCUUUGCAAAAGAGACUCAUGGAAUUUUGUCUUUGGACAAGCUCUUUGGCAGAUAGUAAGGAGAUAGUCAGCUUUGCUAGGUGUGGCAGUGGUUUUUGUCUUUCACACUGUGAGUGUGAAGUGAAGAAACUCAAGAAAAUAUCUUCAAAUGGCUAUUCAAUUUUUGAUAACUGUUAUCUUCCCGAAAUCACUAAUAGUUUGCUGCUUUGGUUCUAUAAGUCUUUAACCCAUGAAAUUGGACACAUACUUGGACUCUGACAUUACCAGUGGCUAAUCCUGAUAUAAGGCUUUAGCUACCUGAAGACCAUCAGCCUCUAGACCUUUUCCCCAACUGUUUAGGCAGGAUACAGUGUGCUGCUAUUCACUUCAACACUUUAGAAUGAGCCAAAGCAAUUGUGAGGUGGAUUAAUGAUGAAUCUACUAGCAUACCUGGAGUAACUCCAAAAUAUAGUUGUCAGGAUAAUAUGAAUUUGAUAAAACCUGUGGACGCCUUUGAAAAAUUGAAUGAGUUGUAUAGUGAACAGUCUUGCUGUUCUCUAA
rnacentral:lncRNA from 1 species